UUAGGAAUCUUGCGCAAUGGGCGAAAGCCUGACGCAGCCAUGCCGCGUGAAUGAUGAAGGUCUUAGGAUUGUAAAAUUCUUUCAGUGGGGAAGAUAAUGACGGUACCCACAGAAGAAGCUCCGGCUAACUUCGUGCCAGCAGCCGCGGUAAUACGAAGGGGGCUAGCGUUGCUCGGAAUUACUGGGCGUAAAGGGCGCGUAGGCGGACAGUUUAGUCAGAGGUGAAAGCCCAGGGCUCAACCUUGGAACUGCCUUUGAUACUGGCUGUCUUGAGUUCGGGAGAGGUGUGUGGAACGCCGAGUGUAGAGGUGAAAUUCGUAGAUAUUCGGCAGAACACCAGUGGCGAAGGCGACACACUGGCCCGAUACUGACGCUGAGGCGCGAAAGCGUGGGGAGCAAACAGG
rnacentral:rRNA from 1 species